ACAUAUAUUUAAAAAAUUAUAAUUAUUAAUUAAAUUAUUUAAUAAAAACCUCUCUCUGCAUAUAAAGCCAUCGUUCUCAUCGUGUUCUCGCCGCCGUGAUUAUCUAGUCGUAUUUUUGUUGCUGAUCUGUCUUCACCUAGCCGAUCUCGUCGUCUCUAUGAAAGGAGUGAAAGAAGAGCGCCAUCGAUGCUAUCAUCGAACUAGCCAAGGAAGCUGAACGGCUCUUCACGAUUCAUCACGAUUCCGCAACGCCUCUACCUAUCAAUAUGAUACAGAGAAUUGGCCUUUGAUUGAUCCUUUGUCCUCUUAUGGAAGAGGAUGUGGACGAAGAUAUAUCAACUUUAUUCAUGGAGACGAACUCAAUGACACUGUUAUUACAUGAUAUUUAUGUUAAAAUACAUAAUUUUUUUGAAGGUUCUUGAUUUAUGUAAGGGUUUGAUGUAAGGGUUUUCAGGAUAGCUAUAACGCUCUAUUUCCUCCGUGGAAUGACUCAUCUUAGUAGGCUUGAAAACAAUAGUAUUAUUCUCUAGCUUAUUGUUAUGUAGUAUCUCUUAUGUUUAGAGUAUUGGAUUUGUUUGAAGUGCUCUUAAGGAGAUAAUCUGUUUUUCUU